UAUCCAAAAAAUGGAAACAUUCAGAAAAGCAAGAGAGAUCAAACUGGGCCCAUUGCUACUUCUGGUGGGAUUCGCAAACCAAACAUCUAUUAAUCUCUCGUCUACAGCUGUUUUCGCGGCGGUAGCGAAGCAAAGCAACCGCUGUAGCAAGACUUCAUUUCCGUGUGAAGAGCUCCUUCUCCUUCUCGUUGUCAGUUGAGUUAGAGUCCACCUUGAUGAUGCAGCCUGAAGAGAAAAUCAGGAAAGGGGAAUAUAAAAAGGAGUCCACCUUGAUGAUGCAACCUGAAGAGAAAAUCGGUGAAGAAGAUGUAAAAAGCAAAGUUGAGCCAGAGUCUACCUUGAUGAUGCAAUGUGAAGAUAAACUCAGUGAAGGAGAAAGAUGUAAAAAACAAAGUUGAGCUGGAGUCCACCUUGAUGAUGCAACCGGAAGAGAAAAUCGGUGAAGGAGAAGAUGUAAAAAACAAAGAAGAUAUUAUCAGCCGGGACUAUGGUAGUUCCUCAAACAGUUAUGGGACUAAUCUUUCUCUAUAUAGGAAUAGAAAAAGGUGGUACAAGGUAAGGUUCGCAGAGAUGCAUUACCGUGAUGAGCAGGUAGCUCUGCUGCUAGACGCGCUUAAAUGUGAUAAGUCUGAACUCCAUUCUAUUUAUCGACACCGUAGUAUCCGUAUGUUUGAAGCUUAUAUGACUUAUGCAGAGGCUCAAAAAGUCCGUGCAUUGGAAGAAGUUGCGUAUGUUGGAUUGGUUCCAAUGAGUGACAAUGUGCAGUCUGCAAAACGAACCAAGUCUGGAAUUUUUGAGGCUAGACCAAAAUCGAAGAAACAAAAGCGUAGCCUAGGCAGCAUACUCUCGGAGCGGAGACAAAACAAAGAGAAAUGGAGGUAUAAUGAAGAUUUGGAGCAGGAGGCUAAAAUAGAGGAUUCCGAAGAAGAAGACUUCUCAGAGGAUGAAUGGAGCAGAGAUUACAGUGGUUCCAGUGACACUUUUCUCUCAACGUGGCAAUGGAAAAUUGGCUUUCACUAUUUAGGAUUGGGUUGUCAAAUAUUAUUCACUGUUUUGGUACAAGGUAUGCUUGUCAGGUGAGAAAGCAAAGGAUGAUCAGGUAGCUUUGUUGCUAGAUGUGCUUAAUUGUGAGCAGUCUGGAAUUCGUUCUAUUUAUAUAUAUCAUACUCCGGAUCUGUUUAAAGCUCGCAUGACUGAGGAAGAGGCCGAUAGAGUUGCCGGGUUGGGAGAAGUUGAGUUCGUGGAGCCACUAAGUUAUAUCAUAGCCCUUGAUUAGGACUUAGGCUAUCUUGCAAGUCGAUGAAAGUCACCAAGAAUGUUGUGUAAUCAGUUUCAUGCUACGUAUUAGUAUUAGACUUGGAACUAUUUGGAUUUAAUGGGAAUGUCUUUUGAAGUUACUAAAAUAAUAGGAGGCUGUCAAGAAAGUGUCCCAAAGGUUUUCAAGAAAGUAUUUGAAUGUUAUAUAAAAUAGUUAUAUCGUAUUAGAUAUUUCUAGCCAAUAUUUCACAUCUUUUUAUCA